UCAAACUCUUUCCUCCCCUUCACCUAAAACAGUGUCUGGUUUACUCCCGAGGGACAGCUGGGAGCCAUGGGUGGGAAUGUUCUGGCAGGGCCAGGACUAGAUGAGGUGCCUAGGGUCCAAAUCAAAGAGGCACUCGCUCUCAGGAUCGUGCAGGCGCAACGAGCAUCUUCUUCAGUUUUGCACCUCAACCUUGCCUGGUCCUGUGUAGGGCAGGAGAUGUCAGGUGGGUACCCGAGCCAGUGUGGUAGUUUUCAGCAUUGCCUCCUAAGGUAGUGAGCUACCCGUCACUGGAGGCAUUCAAGCUGAAAGUGGUCAGCUGCGUCUUAGGGAUGCUGAAGAGAGCAUUUCUUUAAUGGCUGGGAGGUGGACUAGAUGAUUCUGCCUUCCACCCCUGGAAGCUAGGAUCUAAGGAGCCUUUCCUGAUGGUGCAUCUCAGAACUGCGUCUCUUUCCUUCCAGCUCUGUUUUUACCUCCAAGACCACUCAUCCGGCCGUCCACCGCAGGCUGUCUCGUGACAGCUCUCGUACAGCUGGCCUGUCUUGUUAUUUCGGAUUUCACGAGUUUCUGUGUCAUUGUCCUAACGGCGUUCCACAUGCAUCAAGGACAGGGAUCGAACUGCACACUUUCUGUUCUCUCGGACUGGUGGGUCUUGUCAUGCCUAGAGAAAGGAACGAUCGCAACUCGAGCCUUAGUAUUCCCGGGUGUUUAAAAAGACUUGGACUGGUCACCCAGGUGGGAGCUUCUCAUUGCUCAGAAGUGUCUACUCCCCAGAAGAGAGUUCUGCCCAGGAGACACUUGUAGACGAGGGAAAGGUGAGUCUCCCAGGAGUCUGACUGGCAGGGAUCAGCCUGCUAGAAUUCGAUCACCUUUGGGGAACGUCCAAAGAGAGUUCUCCAAAUGACAAAGCUGAGGACAACACUUGGUCUUUAACUAUUGAGUCACUGAUCAAUGAAGACACCUUGCCAGCCUUCUCUGUGCUAGGCACUCUGCUAGGGAAGCAGGGAAGGACGAAAACACUAGAAUCUGUUCCGAAGCCUUCAGAGUCUGGGAGCGGGGUGGAGGGAGGCCAGGGGUGGGACCCCGUGAGCUCUGCCCCCCAGAGCCAGCCUGUGCUCAGAGAGGAGCAGCCGAGACAGCCGGGCCACCUUCCGUCUCUCCGCCGCAAUCCCCAGGAGGAAAGGGGUUCUGGAAGGCUGAGGAAAAUGACUGAGAGAAGUUGCAGCUGAUCCAGACAGCUCAGCGAGGCUGGAGAUCAGGAGGGAGGCGGGUGUGUCGAGGAACCGGAGGCAAGCUCGGGGCAGGGGGACCGCCAAGGACCCCGCGCAGGUGGAGGAAGAGAGGGCUCUGGAAAGACCUGGCUGUCGCUCGCGGGCUGCUGAGGACAGGACUUCGGUUGCUGUGGGAAAGGCAAACGCUAUUUUUCCUCUCGGUCACUUAAGACAAUGGGGUGUUGUGACACUCCGGAAUCUGAAGAUAAAUGUUUAAUCAAAGGAUUCAAUUUGA